UCACACAAGAGACCCAAACUAAUCGUUCACGGCGUAAAGAGUGGACUCAUGCCUAUCACAUUAAUUAUGGUCAAAACGUAGCUGAGCUGUCAUAAGCUUAAGACACACCUAAAACCACCCUAAAGAUGACCCUAAUCCAUAUGACCCACUAAACUCCACGAAAGCCAGGGCCCAAACUGGGAUUAGAUACCCCACUAUGCCUGGCCCUAAAUCUCGAUGCUCUACGCAACCAAAGCAUCCGCCUGAGAACUACGAGCACAAACGCUUAAAACUCUAAGGACUUGGCGGUGCCCCAAACCCACCUAGAGGAGCCUGUUCUAUAAUCGAUAACCCACGAUACACCCGACCACUUCUUGCCAAAACAGCCUACAUACCGCCGUCGCCAGCUCACCUCUUCUGAGAGUACCACAGUGAGCACAAUCGCCCUAACCCCGCUAACAAGACAGGUCAAGGUAUAGCUUAUGAAGUGGAAGAAAUGGGCUACAUUUUCUAACCUAGAAAACUUCACGAAAGGGGGCAUGAAAUAGCCCCUAGAAGGCGGAUUUAGCAGUAAAGUGGGAUAAUAUAAGCCCCCUUUAAGCCGGCUCUGAGGCACGUACAUACCGCCCGUCACCCUCCUCACAGGCUCUAAACUAACCAAUAAAUAAUACACCCUCCUGCCAAAGAUGAGGUAAGUCGUAACAAGGUAAGUGUACCGG
rnacentral:rRNA from 1 species